GGGGAUUUAGCUCAGUGGUAGAGCGCUUGCCUAGCAAGCGCAAGGCUGUGGGUUCAGUCCCCA
rfam:Rattus norvegicus chromosome 8, whole genome shotgun sequence.